UUCAGUUGGGCACUCUAGCGAGACUGCCGGUAAUAAACCGGAGGAAGGUGGGGAUGACGUCAAAUCAUCAUGCCCCUUAUGACCUGGGCUACACACGUGCUACAAUGGUUGGUACAACGAGUUGCGAGUCGGUGACGGCGAGCUAAUCUCUUAAAGCCAAUCUCAGUUCGGAUUGUAGGCUGCAACUCGCCUACAUGAAGUCGGAAUCGCUAGUAAUCGCGGAUCAGCACGCCGCGGUCGAAUACGUUCCCGGGCCUU
rnacentral:rRNA from 1 species